UACGUAGGUGGCAAGCGUUGUCCGGAAUUAUUGGGCGUAAAGCGCGCGCAGGUGGUUCCUUAAGUCUGAUGUGAAAGCCCACGGCUCAACCGUGGAGGGUCAUUGGAAACUGGGGAACUUGAGUGCAGAAGAGGAAAGUGGAGUUCCAAGUGUAGCGGUGAAAUGCGUAGAGAUUUGGAGGAACACCAGUGGCGAAGGCGACUUUCUGGUCUGUAACUGACACUGAGGCGCGAAAGCGUGGGGAGCAAACAGG
rnacentral:rRNA from 1 species